UACACAUGCAAGUCGAACGGUAGCGCGGGGCAACCUGGCGACGAGUGGCGAACGGGUGAGUAAUGCAUCGGAACGUGCCCAAUAGUGGGGGAUAGCCCGGCGAAAGCCGGAUUAAUACCGCAUACGACCUACGGGUGAAAGCGGGGGACUCGCAAGAGCCUCGCGCUAUUGGAGCGGCCGAUGUCAGAUUAGGUUGUUGGUGGGGUAAAAGCCUACCAAGCCGACGAUCUGUAGCUGGUCUGAGAGGACGACCAGCCACACUGGGACUGAGACACGGCCCAGACUCCUACGGGAGGCAGCAGUGGGGAAUUUUGGACAAUGGGCGCAAGCCUGAUCCAGCCAUGCCGCGUGCGGGAAGAAGGCCUUCGGGUUGUAAACCGCUUUUGUCAGGGAAGAAACGCUCUGGGCUAAUACCCCGGGGUAAUGACGGUACCUGAAGAAUAAGCACCGGCUAACUACGUGCCAGCAGCCGCGGUAAUACGUAGGGUGCAAGCGUUAAUCGGAAUUACUGGGCGUAAAGCGUGCGCAGGCGGUCUUGCAAGACAGAUGUGAAAUCCCCGGGCUUAACCUGGGAACUGCAUUUGUGACUGCAAGGCUGGAGUAUGGUAGAGGGGAUGGAAUUCCGCGUGUAGCAGUGAAAUGCGUAGAUAUGCGGAGGAACACCGAUGGCGAAGGCAAUCCCCUGGACCUGUACUGACGCUCAUGCACGAAAGCGUGGGGAGCAAACAGGAUUAGAUACCCUGGUAGUCCACGCCCUAAACGAUGUCAACUGGUUGUUGGGAAGGUUCCUUCUCAGUAACGUAGCUAACGCGUGAAUUUGACCGCCUGGGGAGUACGGCCGCAAGGUUGAGACUCAAAGGAAUUGACGGGGACCCGCACAAGCGGUGGAUGAUGUGGUUUAAUUCGACGCAACGCGAAAAACCUUACCUACCCUUGACAUGUCUGGAAUUUCGCAGAGAUGUGAAAGUGCUCGAAAGAGAACCAGAACACAGGUGCUGCAUGGCCGUCGUCAGCUCGUGUCGUGAGAUGUUGGGUUAAGUCCCGCAACGAGCGCAACCCUUGUCAUUAGUUGCUACGAAAGGGCACUCUAAUGAGACUGCCGGUGACAAACCGGAGGAAGGUGGGGAUGACGUCAGGUCAUCAUGGCCCUUAUGGGUAGGGCUACACACGUCAUACAAUGGCCGGUACAGAGGGCUGCCAACCCGCGAGGGGGAGCCAAUCCCAGAAAACCGGUCGUAGUCCGGAUCGCAGUCUGCAACUCGACUGCGUGAAGUCGGAAUCGCUAGUAAUCGCGGAUCAGCUUGCCGCGGUGAAUACGUUCCCGGGUCUUGUACACACCGCCCGUCACACCAUGGGAGCGGGUUCUGCCAGAAGUAGUUAGCCUAACCGCAAGGAGGGCGAUUACCACGGCAGGGUUCGUGACUGGGGUGAAGUCGAAACAAGGUA
rnacentral:rRNA from 1 species